UACAGAGGUCUCAAGCGUUGUUCGGAUUCAUUGGGCGUAAAGGGUGCGUAGGUGGCGGGGUAAGUCAGGUGUGAAAUCUCGGAGCUCAACUCCGAAACUGCACUGGAUACUGCCUUGCUCGAGUACUGGAGAGGAGAUUGGAAUUUACGGUGCAGCAGUGAAAUGCGUAGAUAUCGUAAGGAAGACCAGUGGCGAAGGCGAAUCUCUGGACAGUUACUGACACUGAGGUACGAAGGCCAGGGGAGCAAACAGG
rnacentral:rRNA from 1 species